rnacentral:rRNA from 1 species
GGUGAACGCUAGCUACAGGCUUAACACAUGCAAGUCGAGGGGCAGCAUUUUUUAUUGGCAAUAUAAAAGAAUGCGACCGGCGCACGGGUGAGUAACACGUAUCCAACCUGCCGAUAACUCGGGGAGUAACCCUUCGAAAGAAGGCCUAAUACCCGAUGGCAUAUCCCUUUCCGCCUGGUUGGGAUAUUAAAGAACUUCGGUUAUCGAUGGGGAGGCGUUCCAUUAGCUUGUUGGCGGGUAACGGCCCACCAAGGCUUCGAUGGAUAGGGGUUCUGAGAGGAAGGUCCCCCACAUUGGAACUGAGACACGGUCCAAACUCCUACGGGAGGCAGCAGUGAGGAAUAUUGGUCAAUGGACGAGAGUCUG